rnacentral:rRNA from 1 species
AAUGAACGUUGGCGGCAUGGAUUAGGCAUGCAAGUCGAGCGAGAGGUGUAGCAAUACACGGAAAGCGGCGGAAGGGAGAGUAAUACGUGGGAAUCUGCCCUUAGACCUGGGAUAGCAGCGGGAAACUGCUGGUAAUACCAGAUAAUGUCUAUGGACCAAAGGUGUGAUUCCGUCUAGGGAUGAGCCCACGUCCUAUUAGCUAGUUGGUAGGGUAAUGGCCUACCAAGGCGAUGAUGGGUAGCGGGUGUGAGAGCAUGACCCGCCUCACUGGGACUGAGACACUGCCCAGACACCUACGGGUGGCUGCAGUCGAGAAUCUUCGGCAAUGGGCGCAAGCCUGACCGGGCGAUGCCGCGUGCGGGAUGAAGGCCUUCGGGUUGUAAACCGCUGUCGAGGGGGAGCCACUUCCAUAGAGUUAUCUUUAUGGAUUGAGUGAUCCCUGGAGGAAGGACGGGCUAAGUUCGUGCCAGCAGCCGCAGUAAAAC